UAAUGUGAGGGAGAUCUGGCUGCAACGUGUGUCACCCCAUUGAUCAUCAGGGUUGAUUCAGCAGAUCUGGUUGCCUAAGGGAAUGUCUCUUUCCUCCCUCACUGCUCCAUGUGUGUCUCUCCCAAAGGUACAUGCUCAGUCAAAGAGGAUGUAGAGGAGGACCAUUUCCUUUGUCAAGGAAACCGGAGCAGCUGUGCUCCCCUGCUACAACCUCCAAAUAAGUUAUCUAUCUGUCUAUCUAGCUAUCUACACAUCCUAUUUAUAUUGUUCUUUUUUUUGAAAAUUCUAAGUAAUA
ensembl:misc_RNA 7SK 7SK RNA